AUAUGUGUCAGCCCAACUACUCAAAGUGUGGUGGCUGGAGGUUGCCAUGUGUCAAAUAAAUUGUGGCUGUUCAAUGUCUGUAUGAGAAUCCUAUGCCAUGAAUCUAAAUUAUGUGGUGUUCUUUUGUGUCUGAUUUCAACAGCAACAUGAGGUGUUAAAAAAUUAUUUCUGUAGUGCCUGAACCUCUAACUAUUUGACUCUUCGGCUCCUAUGUUUGUUUGUCAAGCUCACCCUGCAGCCUACGUUGUCUAAUUAAAUAGGAUAUUUUCCGAUCAACGAAAUUACCGCAAGCAAGAUCAGUGCUAUGAAUUAACACACCUUUAGAGUUCUUUAGGUGGAUUCCAUCUGUGUUUGGACUGUCUUCGGGAGAGGAGGAGCAUGCGCGCACCGCGAGUACUCCUACUGGGUUGUCAAACUUGAGGUCGCAUUGUGGGCUGUUUUGAAUUGUUAUGCCUGUGAUUGUCGCAUUGAAACUUCCAUAAAAUCUUAGCACCUGCAAAAAGAAAGCAUGUCAAUCAUGUUAUAAAGUGCAUAUGAACUGCGAUAGAAAUCUUGAUAGUUUUCUUGAAGUCCUUACUGCAUCCGGGCUUGAUGCUUGGCAUUUUCCCGCUGAGCUCCCUUCUUAUCUACAACACAGUUCAGAAAAGAGACAUUAUCAGAUUUAGAUAGAUACUGCAGAUAAUAAUUGUAGUGGAAGGAUCUUCAAACGGGUGGUCUUGCCACCAUUUUGAGCCACUUCCAUCUAUGGUGUCUUUCCAUGAACUGUGCUUCCUACAAGCUUGGUGAAUUCAAGCCACUACAAGAGAUCUCUACCCUGAGCAUCGAUUGUUGGGGCAAUAAUUGUGCCAUCAAACUGGGAAGAAGAUUCAUUGCAUCAUCAUUCACCAAUAUGGAAUGCAUGAAUGGCUGUCAUUUUCUCUGCUAACAAAUUCUAUAUUUGAUGCUUGCUUGGUUGCUAACACAUUCAUGAAUAGUUUUUUUAAUUGCUAAGCUUUUUCUUUUUCUACUGUCAUAUCCUCUCUUGGCUGUGCUUCAUGGUUUGUGCCAGCUCUUGCACCUUUGCGGCUCCUUUUAGGUUGUGGUUGAUGAGGUUUGUUCUUCUUUACCUCGGUUUCAGUUGCACCACCUAUUCUGCAGAUUACUUUCCCUUUUUGUUUUCUGCGGCACCAAGCUGACUUUGCUCGCGGCUUUUGCUAUCCUAAUUUGGAUGGUUUGAUUCCUUUAGUUUGUAUGUUCUGCUGCUUCGUUGUUCAUGCCUUUAGGCUCUUACCUUUUAGUUUUCUUUUUGAUGAUGUUCGACCUCAGGUGUGCUUACUGUUUUAGGAAAUCUCUCGCAACUUUGCCUGCCCUUUUUUCUAAUAGCUGGCGAGGUUCCCUCUUCUAUACGUUGCUUUCGUUUGAUCGCUCUCUUUUCCCUUUGUUUUUUGAUCCCACAUUAAGCUGUCUUCGGUCUGUGCUUGCUCUGUCCAAGUUAUCAUAGCUUUCCUUUUCAACUUUGUAUGGCUUUCUACGUUGUUGCCUUUCGUGAUGUUUGUUUAGCCAUUUUCUAUGCUCUCUCGGUUGCGCUUCCUGGUUUAGGACCGCUCAUGCAUCUUUUCUCCAACAAUUGACAAGGUUUGCUAUUCUCUGCCUCCAUUUCAGUUCCGCCAUCUGUUUUGUAGGUUGCUUCUUCUUCUUCUUCUUCUUUUCACUUUUAUAACAUCAAGUCAUCAACAUGACUUUGACAUUGGCU